UUCUUUUAGAAAUUAUUAAAAGUAAGUCCUGCUCAAUGAUAUUUAAAUAGCUGCAGUUUUGUACUAAGGUAGCAUAAUCAAUUGUCUAUUAAUUGUAGACUGGAAUGAAGGGAUAAAUAAUUAUGUAUUUUAUUAAAUUUAUUAAUUGAAUUUUAAUUUUAAAUUAUAAUGUUUAAAUAUAUCUUAGGGACAAGAAGACCCUAUAAAGCUUUGAUAUAUUAAUUUUUAUGUUUAUUUAUAUUGUAUAUUAAAUUGGGGUAAUUUUUUAUGAUUAAUUAUUAUAAGAUUAAAUAUAUAAUUAAUAUUUAUUAUUAGUUGAUCCAUUAUUAGUGAUUUUAUGAAUAAGUUACUUUAGGGAUAACAGUAUAAUUUUUAUUUUAUAGUUCAUAUAUUUAAUGAAGAUUAUAACCUCGAUGUUGAAUUAAUAUAAUAGUAUGGUGAAGAAGCUAUGUUUAUUAGACUGUUCGUCUAUUAAAUUAUUACA
rnacentral:rRNA from 1 species